AUCUUUGUCGUUUGUGACGUUUGUGUUUUCCCUUACCGGAUUGAUACAAAUAAAAGCAAAAAGAGCAUUAAUUAUAUAAUUUUCGUUGUAAAAAUAUCACGAUUAUUAAAUACCGAGUCAAUCUAUAAAUCUUUGAAGGAUCAUUACCAUGAAGAUUUUUCAAUCAAGAAAUAAGGAAUGACCUAUUGAAGAAUGUUACAUCUAUUCUGAUACUUCAGUCACUGGAAACUUCAGUAGUAUCUCCUGAUAAUAUGUACAAAUCUUAUAUUUGCAUAUUUCCAUUCUGCAAUCCUAUCCUCCUGCUGGUUUCAAC